GUAGGGAAUAUUGGACAAUGGGGGGAACCCUGAUCCAGCCAUGCCGCGUGUGUGAAGAAGGCCUUUUGGUUGUAAAGCACUUUAAGUGGGGAGGAGGCUUACCUGGUUAAUACCUGGGCUAAGUGGACGUUACCCACAGAAUAAGCACCGGCUAACUCUGUGCCAGCAGCCGCGGUAAUACAGAGGGUGCGCGCGUUAAUCGGAUUUACUGGGCUUAAAGCGCGCGUAGGUGGUUAAUUAAGUCAAAUGUGAAAUCCCCGGGCUUAACUUGGGAAUUGCAUUCGAUACUGGUUGGCUAGAGUAUGGGAGAGGAUGGUAGAAUUCCAGGUGUAGCGGUGAAAUGCGUAGAGAUCUGGAGGAAUACCGAUGGCGAAGGCAGCCAUCUGGCCUAAUACUGACACUGAGGUGCGAAAGCAUGGGGAGCAAACAGGAUUAGAAACCCGGGUAGUCC
rnacentral:rRNA from 1 species